GAGAGGUGAGUCCGGGGAGUCACAGCUGAGAUCUGCUCACCUGGAGCAGCAGCCACUGGAGCCACAGACGGUAGAGCAGUAAACGGAAACUGUCAUGAACUGCUGGAGGACCAGUGGGUUGCCAGGAGAGAGAAAUCCUGGGAGCUGAGGUCCUAGGGACUUUUCUGGUCUUUACCUCCAAAAAGCACCAUGGGCUCAAGCUGAAGAUCCUCCUAAGGCUCUGAGGGAAAAGGAGAUGUAACUGGAAAAUAGGACCAGAGCCUUCUCUGUAACAAAGAUCUGCUUUCCAGGGGAAGGGUUUUGCCAACACCUACCUCAGAGCUCUGGUUCAGACUGAGAAGUUUCUCUACACCUGCUCUGCAAGAAAUGUUAAGAGAUGUUCUUUCGGCUAAGGAAAUGACCUAGCAAUCGGAUCUGGGUCUAACCAAUAAAGGAAGAGCGCUGGGAGAACGACUAAAUGAAGGAUGUAAACAACUUCAAUGAGAAGUGCACAAGGGAAGUACUUUGUGCUUUGUCUGGAAAGCCACAGGCAUCUCUGAAUGCAACUGACCCUCUUGCAGGGUGAAAAAAACGAUUUCAGUGUCCAGCAAGAGCCCUUCAUUGUUUCAUGCCUGUGGGUCAAGAAACCACCAUAGGCAGC